rnacentral:lncRNA from 1 species
AUCUAGUAUUACCUAAAAAGGAUCUAAUAUGCAUGAUUAAUUUAGAUUUAUAGAUCUGAAAAUCAAAAAUUAAGAAGGAUUAAAAACUUUCCUUGGAUCACUAUCCACUUGCAAGUCAGAUCUAGAUUGACUGCAGGUUCUGUUUGAAGCCACACACAUGCUUGACCUCUAUAAGUAUCUACAUAGGACUGAUGCAAAUCCAAAGCCUUCUAGAUCACCAAGGUGCUAGCCUCUUUCAGAUCUGCUCGGUUUGAUUGGACGUCAUUGUAGAAGAAAACAGCACGAAUACCUUCCCAUAGGAUCUUGAAGAAGAAGCUAGAAGAGAACCCUUUCUCUUCUUCUUCUUUUCUUCCUUUUUCCUCUCCUUUUCCUCUCCUUUUUCUCUCUAAUUUCCUCUCUUCUUAGGUGUGAGAUCUAGUGGAGAAUUGAUUGGGGCAUCCUAGAGGUGGGGCACCCCUAUUGAUAGAUAAGGGUGGGCGGCUACAUGGAGUGCACACCCAAUUCCAAAAGAAGUCCAACUCCUUUUCUUUUUUCCAUGCCACAAACUAGACUUCUAGGCCUUUUAAGAAUCCUAAUCUGAUCCUAAAUCAAUUAGGAUUGAUUUAAUUCUAUAAGAGAGAAGGAGAUAGAGUCCAAGGAGAAUGGGGUGCCAACUAUUGGCACCCCUUCUUUUGCUG